UACGAAGGGGGCUAGCGUUGCUCGGAAUCACUGGGCGUAAAGCGCACGUAGGCGGAUCGUUAAGUCAGGGGUGAAAUCCUGGAGCUCAACUCCAGAACUGCCUUUGAUACUGGCGAUCUUGAGUUCGGGAGAGGUGAGUGGAACUGCGAGUGUAGAGGUGAAAUUCGUAGAUAUUCGCAAGAACACCAGUGGCGAAGGCGGCUCACUGGCCCGGAUACUGACGCUGAGGUGCGAAAAGCGUGGG
rnacentral:rRNA from 1 species